GUCCUAGCCGUAAACGUUGGUCACUAGGUGUUGGGCCCCUAAUAAGGGCUCAGUGCCGCAGCUAACGCAUUAAGUGACCCACCUGGGGACUACGGCCGCAAGGUUGAAACUCAAAGGAAUUGACGGGGGCCCGCACAAGCGGUGGAGUAUGUGGUUCAAUUCGACGCAACGCGAAGAACCUUACCUGGGUUUGACAUCCCAACGAAAGCCCAAGAGAUUGGGUCCUCUCGCAAGAGACGUUGGGACAGGUGCUGCAUGGCUGUCGU
rnacentral:rRNA from 1 species